AGAAUCAACGCUGGCGGCGUGCCUAACACAUGCAAGUCGAACGAGAAAGUGGAGCAAUCCAUGAGUAAAGUGGCGCACGGGUGAGUAACACGUGACUAACCUACCCUGGAGUGGGGGAUAACUGAGGGAAACCUUAGCUAAUACCGCAUAAUACCCACGGGUCAAAGGAGCAAUUCGCUCUAGGAGGGGGUCGCGGCAGAUUAGCUAGUUGGCGGGGUAAUGGCCCACCAAGGCAGUGAUCUGUAUCCGGCCUGAGAGGGCGCACGGACACACUGGAACUGAAACACGGUCCAGACUCCUACGGGAGGCAGCAGUGGGGAAUUUUGCGCAAUGGGGGAAACCCUGACGCAGCAACGCCGCGUGGAGGAUGAAGUCCCUUGGGACGUAAACUCCUUUCGAUCGGGACGAUUAUGACGGUACCGGAAGAAGAAGCCCCGGCUAACUUCGUGCCAGCAGCCGC
rnacentral:rRNA from 1 species